rnacentral:rRNA from 1 species
CCUACGGGGGGCAGCAGUGGGGAAUAUUGGGCAAUGGAGGAAACUCUUACCCAGCAAUGCCGCGUGAAUGAUGAAGGUCUUCGGAUUGUAAAGUUCUUUACUAAGGGAAGAAGAAAGUGACGGUACCUUAGGAAUAAGCCUCGGCUAACUACGUGCCAGCAGCCGCGGUAAUACGUAGGGGGCAAGCGUUAUUCGGAAUGACUGGGCGUAAAGGGUGCGUAGGUGGUUUGACAAGUUGGAAGUGAAAUACCUAGGCUUAACCUCGGCGCUACUACCAAAACUGUUAGACUCGAGUGCAGGAGAGGCAAGUGGAAUUCCUAGUGUAGCGGUGGAAUGCGUAGAUAUUAGGAGGAACACCAGUGGCGAAGGCGAUUUGCUGGACUGUAACUGACGCUGAGGCACGAAAGCGUGGGGAGCAAACAGGAUUAGAUACCCGGGUAGUC